GGUGACUUUAAUUUUGAUAUACAUACAUUAUUUAAUGCCAUCAACUGGUGAAAAAAUGUACAAUGCAAUUCUCAACGCUAUUACCAAAAUACAAAACUGUUAAUAGUGAUACAAGCCUUUGUUGUACUUGUUAAUAAGUACUAAAUGUUCCAUCCAUGGGAAACAUCAUCAUGUCAGCAUUAUCACUGUGGAUGUGUUAGCAAGCUGAUGUCAGCGUUUACCUCCAAAGACCACUUCCAGAGUACCUAAACACAAGGUGAUAUCUCAACUGAUAUCUGGAAACAAAACAAAACCCUGCUGAACAAAUAGUUGACUUUCGAUACUGUACAAUGAACAAUACUAACGUUUCAAGCAUCUGUUUCACUGACAUGUGCAUCUGAUUUUUGUGCCAGCUGCUUCUGUCUCUGUUUUCUCUAAACCUCAAAGGAACUAGUUGGAUUAGCAGAGCAAACAGUUUCUACGACAGAUUGAUUGAUGGAUUGAUUGAUUGAGUGAUGUCACUCCCAGUGAUGAAGUGAUGGCUAAUGUUCAGUGUGUCCCUCCAAAACCUCAGCUCCACACCCCCUACCAACAGUGGACCGCCAUCCCAGAGGUCGCCCAUGUUAACUACUUCCUUUAGUGGCUGAGUGACUGAGUGAUGGAUGAGUGUGGAGCGCUCUCCCCUCGGGGGGCGACUGGAAAAGGGCCUCACUUGAAGAGACAAUUACACAGCACUGGUGAGAGGCACAGGUUCCUGAGUGCAGGCUGGUGUUGGAGGCCCUGGGGCCAGAGAGGCAGCAGUAAUUGUAGAAGCAGGCUGAAGAGCUGAAGAUAGCAUCGCAGCUCUGGGGCGGCUGUCAGCAGUGGGAUGGGCCACACUCAUUUGUCACCAGCACAGACAAACACCACUCAGCGCCAACAAAACACUGACUUGAUUGACUACAUGUGAAGCAACACCAGCGAUGUUUUGCAACUGUCAGUUGCACCACAGAUCAUAUAAACGGCAAGCCCCAGAAGUUUCACAUCAGUGUAAAAACGCCGCAACAUCUGCUCUCUGAUUGUAAAUUACGCUAAAGGUCACAGGGAUGUAAAGGUCAACUAGAAUGUAAAAAGAAAAUACCAUCUUUGUUUAAUGUUAAAAUAUUUUCCGACUUUAAAAAUGUAAUAUGAUAAUUACUUUAUUAUUAUGAUUUAUUAUUAUUUAUUGAAUUUAAGACAUUUUGAUGGAAUUCACAAAAUAUAUUAUAAAAAGUAUAAUCAGGACAAAACUGUGUGCCGUCAUAUCUUAAUAUGGAUUCUGUUUCAGGUUUAACCAGCUGUUAACAGG
rnacentral:lncRNA from 1 species